CUUCCCCUUUCUCCCCCUGCUCGAUUCCCCGUUCCUCUCUGCCGCCGCCUCUCGCUCCUCUCUUGAGCCCUUACCCUCGACCCGCAAAGCGUCAUGGCCGUUGCCGGGAUAGGCUGGGUAGUGUAGGCGAGGAAGAGAGGGUUGGCUGCGUUUGGCGUCCCUGAAGUAUCAGGGGAGGGCCGGACGCCGGGCGAAGGCGGCGUGGAGUUCCGUGGCCAUGGUGGUGGGAGGGGUGGCUCCCCAUUCUCGUGCAACCACAAUAUCCAACGGCAUCCCGCGGUGCUCCGUCGGCCUGGGCUGCCCCGCGAGGUUCUUCUCCGGCGACAACGCCAUAGAGUUCGGCUGUAACAAGAUCCCAACUGCGCAUGUGGGAUGGUUGUCCUCGCCCAGAGCUGGCAUCUUCAACGGCGAUUUGCUAUCUAACCUAUCAACAGCAUCACAGAGAGUGGGAGGACUAUCCCGUCGGUCAGAGAAGGCGGGGAGGAGUGGAUGCCAGCGAGGGAGGAGGCUCUGCCCUGCCAACUCGCUUGCGUAUAAUAAUAAGUCCACGACAAGGACAAGACCGAUGAUAUAGGGCAUCACUGGUGCCAAAAGAUGUGUUGCCAAGUGUUGAUGUCGCAACAGCCAUGGCCGACCGCUUCUUCCCCAAGGACCUUCCCAAUUUGGUUUACGCAGCCUGCUCACCGUUCUUUGCCCCGGGCUCUCCAACCGGCUGCUCCGUGCCACCCUACGGAAAAAAAUGGUUUUGAUUGUGUUCUGGUUUGAUGUGGUGGUGCACGCGUGAGGUGCUCGACUAAUUGAUUGUGUCUUGCAAGUCGUGAAAGAGACAUGGAUCACGACGGGAAGUCAAGGACGGGCUCUCGCUUUGCACGGGUGUGCUCGGGGUGGUGCUCUUGCUGUUCUCAUUUUAGCUCCGGUCAAUAGCUCACAUGGAGUUGUUUCUUCUCUUUGUGUUGUCAUUCAUGGCAUUGUUGCCUAUCUAUUUGCUGAUGUGCGUUUUGUGUUGCUCAGGUUUCAGUGAGGUGAGUGAGGUGAGUUGCUUGUUUGUUGUCAUGCGCAAAUCAUGCGGCACUGAGUCUCGCGUAGCCACUCCUCGUUGUCGUGGUCACCACACGGAGAACCCUUCUACUGUACGGUGCCGUCCACUUCUGCGUGAUCCAACACACGAGCCCGCGUUCUGAGCCGCUGGUCCUCGUCAUGUGGAGUAAGGUAGCCUCCACAAGGAAUUGAUCCAGAAACACCCGUGCGUAAGCUGGCCUCCAAAAGAAUAACUCAUCAACAAUUUUAUGUCUAUGUUGGUAUUGUAAGACUUAUUGGUCAUGGAUAUUUCUUCAUACUUACAUUUUCUGUUGUUCAAGGUAAGGCACGGCCUUUGGUGGAUUUCUGGUGGUACCUGAAGGAGACCUUCUUCCCAGAUGGCCCAUUUCGUGUGGCGGUGCGUGAGCGAGCUGCUGGACUGUACGUGGCGGCGGCGCUUCUAUACUUCUUCCGUUCUUGGAGUGGGCGCCAGCCUACGGGCUGGGCACCUCAGCUUCAUUCUGAUUUAUGUGAAUAUAAGCAUAAGAGGUCCAGUGGGGAUGCUACAAAAUAAUUCCAGAGGUGAGUAUCCGGAUCGCGUUGCUGGUGGUCAUCUCUUGCGAUUGCCUACAUCGGGCUUCUAACAAAGCCAAGUCAUGGCCUCAUGAGCUCGCUUUCGAAUUAAUUGUAGUGCAUCGUACCCGUUUAUACUUCAUGGGUGAGAACUUUUUUGCUCAUUAGAUGUAUCCCUGCCUAUGAUGGUUUUGAUCUCAAAUAGUAUAGUAUGUGUAUAUUUGACCAAUGUGCUACUAUUAUAUCAUAAUGUUAUAGCAUAUGUCCAUAUUGAUGUA